rnacentral:misc_RNA from 1 species
GAUGAAGAACGUAGCGAAAUGCGAUAAUUAAUGUGAAUUGCAGAAUUCCGUGAAUCAUCGAGUUUUUGAACGCACAUUGCGCCCCUUGGUAUUCCGGGGGGCAUGCCUGUCCGAGCGUCAUUGCUGCCCUCAAGCACGGCUUGUGUGUUGGGCCUCCGCCCCCCGGCUCCCGGGGGGCGGGCCCGAAAGGCAGCGGCGGCACCGCGUCCGGUCCUCGAGCGUAUGGGGCUUCGUCACCCGCUCCGUAGGCCCGGCCGGCGCCCGCCGGCGACCCCCCUCAAUCUUUCCAGGUUGACCUCGGAUCAGGUAGGGAUACCCGCUGAACUUAAGCAUAUCAAUAAGCGGAGGA